CCUCUCGUAGGUUAGUAGUCCGAGCAUUGGUGCGUAAAGCCAAAGGUCCCAGGUUCGAUUCCCGGCGAGGGUG
rnacentral:tRNA from 1 species